rnacentral:snRNA from 1 species
GCUCCCUUUGGCAGCACACAAAAAUGGAAUGAUAAAAGUUUGGUAUGGCCCCUGUGCAAGGAUGAUGUGCAAAUUUAUGAAGUGUUCCAUGUUUUU